rnacentral:rRNA from 1 species
GAUGAACGCUGGCGGCGUGCCUAAUACAUGCAAGUCGAGCGAACAGACGAGGAGCUUGCUCCUCUGACGUUAGCGGCGGACGGGUGAGUAACACGUGGAUAACCUACCUAUAAGACUGGGAUAACUUCGGGAAACCGGAGCUAAUACCGGAUAAUAUAUUGAACCGCAUGGUUCAAUAGUGAAAGACGGUUUUGCUGUCACUUAUAGAUGGAUCCGCGCCGCAUUAGCUAGUUGGUAAGGUAACGGCUUACCAAGGCAACGAUGCGUAGCCGACCUGAGAGGGUGAUCGGCCACACGGGAACUGAGAAACGGUCCAGACUCCUACGGGAGGCAGCAGUAGGGAAUCUUCCGAAAUGGGCGAAAGCCUGACGGAGCAACGCCGCGUGAGUGAUGAAGGUCUUCGGAUCGUAAAACUCUGUUAUUCGGGAAGAACAAAUGUGUAAGUAACUAUGCACGUCUUGACGGUACCUAAUCAGAAAGCCACGGCUAACUACGUG